CGAUCCCACCACCCUGGGAUCAUGACCUAAGCCAAGAUCAAGAGUUGGAUGCUCGACCGUCUGAGCCACCCAGGCACCCCCAUUGUUUGCAUUUUGAUGAACAUUGUUACUUUGCACAUAGAUUUAUAUAUAGAUUGUUGUGGAUUUAUACAGUUUUCCGUAAAUGGAUUGUAUGGCACAUAUUAUAUAGGUUAUUCUGUGAUCAUUUCUCCCUCAACAUUAUCUUCACUGGUAGAAAUGUUUCUAAGCAGAUAUGUUUUCUGAAGACUGUGGACAACUAUUUUGACCUCUUUUGAUUUUGGAGGCUCUUUUAGAAACAGGUGUGAACCUCCAUGCCCAGGCUUCAGAAAGCCAAGAACACUGAGAAGAAUGACACUAACAAAUGUUGGACAGAGGGGCAAAGAGGGGCCAAGAUGACCGCCUGUUUCUUUAUAGAAAUGUAAAAUGUAACCAUCAGCAUAAACUGUAGCAAGGCUGGACUCUUACUCCAACAUGACUGGUAUCCUUACAAGAAGAGACACAUACACAGAGAACACUAUGUGAGGGCACAGAGAUGCAGAAAAGAUGGCCAUUGUAGUCAUGUACCUACAGCCAAGGUCCCCAAGGAUCAUGGACAACCACUGGAAGCUGAGAGGCAGGGAACGAUCAAAUUCUUCCCUAAAGCCUACCGCAAGGAGCCAGCCCCGCCAACACCUUGACUUUGGUCUUCGAGCUACCAGGGCUUUGCCUGCCUACCCUUUUGGUGUUUAUCUUGUUAAGUACUGACAGGCUUAAAAUAUAGACCCCUAGAGGGCAAGAUUGAUAUCUAUAUGGAGUGUGCUGCAGAACAUACACUCAUGCCUCAUACUCUUCUGCACAAAUUAUUUUUGACGACACCCUGUGCCUUUCUGACUUUAUAAUUUUUAGUAACUUCAGCUAUGUGACUCCUGGGGUUUUUUUUGCCACUGCGGUCUCAGAGCUCCAAAAUUUGGAUCGGAGACAUGGAAACACCUUUGGAAAACCUUUAUGUGAAACAGGUAUUUUUUUUGUAUCCUUCCUGUGCAUCCUGAGUUAUAUUUUAUUUGGUCUGCCCAUGAUAACUUCGGGCCAACAGCCUGCUGUCCUUUUAAAACAGAUUCCAAGUGCUUGCCUCACAAUAGCUGAAGGAAUGGAGAUUUAAGGCUGGGCUUAGUAGCCUUCAUCUUUUCUCUCUAGAAGCAUCACUGCACAGACCUCUGUUUCUUCCCUUUUCAUUCAUUCUACUCCCUUUUCUGUUCUCAGUCCCCUGUUUCCUUUUAAAACUUCUCUCCAGCAGGAGUGACUUGUCCUCUGCACACUGACACUUAAAUUAUCCUGACAUAUAAUUUUGUGCGUAUGAGACAGUUGGAAGUGACGGCUCUAAUUUCCGUAAUGAACACAGGAAGCACAGUUCAAAGUUUAUGCUCUGGCUAUUGGGAGAAAUGGAAGCGAACGAGAGCUGGGAAGCCAGGACCCGCAGCGUUGGCUUCCACCGUGUCGGCAGGACGGAAGGGAACCCUGACGGGAAAGUGCCUAGUGUGUCCGGCCUAGAGGCGACGCUCCCCAAGUGAUCGCUCGUCCCGAGCCGUCCGCCAAGGCUUCACGGGUCCUGAAUUGUCCCCCAGUUCACGUGUGCUGAUCGGCAGUGAACGGAAAGGAGAGCACAGAGGAGUUGCCGCCCCAUCGGAAGGAAAAGUCCCGAAGCCCGCAUCUGCCGCUCUGCUUUCCGAGAAAGCGCUCGUCUCCCGUUGCUAAUUCUAGCCCCGUUUCCCCUUGACCCUGUAAACGCAUCGGGAGCUGGCCCAGAAACCCUCCGAUUUGCGCGCAUCGCAACACGCUGCACGUUACAAUCAAGUUGUUGGGUUUUUA